GACAGAGGCCCCAAGCGUUAGGCGGAAUCACUGGGCUUAAAGCGUGUGUAGGCGGAUCGUUAAGUGUCUUGUGAAAUCCCACGGCUCACCCGUGGAACUGCUGGGCAUACUGGCGAUCUUGGGCCAACUAGGGGCAGCCGGAACAAGCGGUGGAGCGGUGAAAUGCGUAGAUAUCUGGAGGAAUACCGGUGGCGAAGGCGGCAUCCUGGACCGACAUUGACGCUGAUGAGCGAAAGCUAGGGGAGCAAACGGG
rnacentral:rRNA from 1 species